UUUCUAGCCAUUUGGGUAAGAGUGUAGGUAACUGUCCAUGCCUGCAGGGCUCAUCACGGGCCUCAUGUGGAAGACCCCAGACUCUCCUGUAGCCUUGUGCACAUUGGAGCCAAUGCUGUUUGUGCCCCCCUCACACGCCCCUGCAUGCACUUUGGCCUGACUUCCAGCUGCCAACACCUGCGUUUGCUUUGGCCUUCGAGUCUUCUCUGGCCCUUGGAGUCCACUGUGGUGUUUGCACAACGGGCCUGAAAUUCUGGGGAAAUUCCUCUAUCAGUGACCGUUGACAGGAGAUGGGUAACUACCCCGGCUCCCUCACCCUUAGGCUGGGAGGGGGUGCCUGGGGCAUGCGCUCUGCACCGUCUUUCCCAGUUGAGCUCCAGCUGCCCUCAGUGUUGGAGAAGGUCUAGAGGAAAGGACCGCCAGUUGACCUGUGGGCUGAACUGGGCAAUGGGAGGCUCCUCACCCCUCCCAGCCUUAGAAUGCCCUCUCACAGUGGGAGGCGUUUUCAAAAACGCAGCCUUCAGAGAGUAAUGUGUUGCUGAGACCAUCUGGACUAAUAUGUGCCUGAACCCCAUUCAGACCUCCAUAUAAACUUGUAAGCGCAGGGAUCCACUCUUCCUGCAGCCACCCUGAGACAAGCCUCGCGGGUACGUUUGCUUGCUUAUUCAACCUGCCACGGACCCACCUAUAGCGAUUGCCUCUUCCAUUUCUCUUUGCCCUCCACAUCCAGGGGCAAGUUCACAGACCAACACUCCGAGUGUUGUCAUACUAGGAUGGAAUUCUGCCACGACACACCUUCCUGCACUGGAGCAACCUUGUCAGCAAGUCCUCCCAGCCUUUUGGAAGCAUGGGGCCCAGUGCUCACCGUCAGGGGCAAGAUCAGAUCUGCGAUGAGAAUGAAGACUCCGAUCAGGGCGAGGAUGGAGCUGACGAUGUUCAUGCCGAUGCUGCCAUUCACCUGGAGGAGGCAGGGGGUGGAGAGAGAAGCUGUGGGGCUGUGAUAAAAUUCAAAACAUGCAAAGAUACAUUGCUGGUUGCUGAGACAGAAGAUGACACUCCAAAGGUCCAGCGCAAGAGGUGGCUGAAAUGUAUACGUUUCCACUGAGCCUCAACCUGGCUUUCUGCUUAUUAAGAGCUCUCCAGGUCAUUGCACUGCAAAGGCUUGCGUUGCCCCAAAGGGCAGGUGUUCCUGUCACCACUGUGCAGAGAAAACAAGCCUGGAACAAGGUCAUCUGGGUGAUAAGCUAGCCUGAACUCCCACCAGCCUAAUGAUACAUUUUAAAGGCAAGUUUGUAGUUAGAGAAAAGCAGAUUUUAUUGACUUAACCUGUAUUUUUCUUACUGUGACUAUUGUAACAAUCAAUGCAGGAUUGACAAAUGAAUUUCAAAAAUUUCAAAAAGUUUUGAAAAAAAUCCAGUGCAUGAAGGAAAUUAUUUGACAUAUAUGAUGAUCUCAUGACAGUGCUGGAGUUACAGAACAUCAAAGGACCUCAACUCAGAAAGAAUAAACACUGGGAUGGAUUUGGAGUCACCCCACCCAGGCACAGAUCCCCGGCUUUCUAGCCAGAUGAUCCUUGAGCUGCUGUUUAAGCUGCUUCAACUUCCUCAUCUGCAAAAUGACCACAGAACUAGUUCCUACCUCAUAUUACUUUUCAUUAGGAUCAUUGAGAUGCUGUCUGAGAAAUACUUGUAAAUACUAAACUGA